rnacentral:rRNA from 1 species
UACAGAGGGGGCAAGCGUUAUUCGGAAUUAUUGGGCGUAAAGGGCGCGUAGGCGGCGAUUCAAGUGACGGGUGAAAUCCCUCGGCUUAACCGAGGAACUGCCUGUCAGACUGGGUUGCUUGAGACCGGGAGAGGCGAGUGGAAUUCCCAGUGUAGCGGUGAAAUGCGUAGAUAUUGGGAGGAACACCAAUGGCGAAGGCGGCUCGCUGGACCGGAACUGACGCUGAGGCGCGAAAGCGUGGGGAGCAAACAGG